rnacentral:rRNA from 1 species
AACAGGGAAAAGCUUGCUUUUCUGCUGACGAGUGGCGCACGGGUGCGUAACGCGUAUACAAUCUACCUUUUGCUGUGGGAUAGCCCAGGGAAACUUGGAUUAAUACCGCAUAGAAUAUAAGAUCGGCAUCGUUUUUAUAUUAAAGGUUACGGCAAAAGAUGAGUAUGCGUCCUAUUAGCUAAAUGGUGUGGUAACGGCACACCAUGGCUACGAUAGGUAGGGGCCCUGAGAGGGGGAUCCCCCACACUGGUACUGAGACACGGACCAGACUCCUACGGGAGGCAGCAGUGAGGAAUAUUGGGCAAUGGAGGCAACUCUGACCCAGCCAUGCCGCGUGCAGGAAGACUGCCCUAUGGGUUGUAAACUGCUUUUAUACGGGAAGAAACACCGCUACGUGUAGCGGCUUGACGGUACCGUAAGAAUAAGGAUCGGCUAACUCCGUGCCAGCAGCCGCGGUAAUACGGAGGAUCCAAGCGUUAUCCGGAAUCAUUGGGUUUAAAGGGUCCGUAGGUGGAUAAUUAAGUCAGAGGUGAAAUCCUGCAGCUCAACUGUAGAAUUGCCUUUGAUACUGGUUGUCUUGAGUCAUUUGUGAAGUAGUUAGAAUAUGUAGUGUAGCGGUGAAAUGCAUAGAUAUUACAUAGAAUACCGAUUGCGAAGGCAGAUUACUAAACAAUGUACUGACACUGAUGGACGAAAGCGUGGGGAGCGAACAGGAUUAUAUACCCUGGUAGUCCACGCCGUAAACGAUGGUCACUAGCUGUUCGGAUUUCGGCCUGAGUGGCUAAGCGAAAGUGAUAAGUGACCCACCUGGGG